UGCUUCCAGAGGGCAGUGUGAUAUUUCAUUCUAAACCUCAAGUUUGAAUCUCUCCUUACACCUGAAACCUUUUGUUUUGUGUCUUUCCAAAGAGUAGACAUCCAGCCAGGAGGUUCAUGCUCCCCCCGUCAUGCUCACACUCUGGGUUAGUAGUCCAGUAGAUGUCACUACAGCCAAGGGAGCAGGACAAGAGGAACGAAAUCUAUGAUGCACAGACCUCUGGGACAAUCUGAGGAGAGAAUCAUGGAUUUUCUAGUUGUUUUUUUUUAAGCGCGUUGGCUGAAUGCAUCACAACAUCAGUGAACCACGCUGGAGUCGCGGGAAGGUGGUCGUGUUGGGCUGUCACACCAGAAUUCAGGGUUCGUAUCAAGUCUGGUUAAGUUUAGGGAAAGACAUUUUCAGUUCCUGAAACUCGCAAAAUUUAGAGAAAAAUUUCAGACUCAGGAUUUUUAUAUUUACUUAUUAUUACUGUACUAGUUAAUAUUGUUUAUUUGUAAACAAAGUACAACAGUUUCAAAUUGUGUUGUCCUUUAAAGUCAUUCGGUUUAUUCUGUUUAUUCAGU